rnacentral:tRNA from 1 species
GGAGGGUAUACUCAGGUAGAGCACGUGCUUAGCAUGCACGAAUUCCUAGGUUCAAUCCCCGGUCCCUCCA